CACGUAGGGUGCGAGCGUUUGUCCGGAAUUAUUGGGCGUAAAGAGCUCGUAGGCGGUGUGUCGCGUCGGCCGUGAAAACUUGCAGCUUAACUGUGGGCGUGCGGUCGAUACGGGCAUCACUGGAGUUCGGCAGGGGAGACUGGAAUUCCUGGUGUAGCGGUGGAAUGCGCAGAUAUCAGGAGGAACACCGGUGGCGAAGGCGGGUCUCUGGGCAGUAACUGACGCUGGAGGAGCGAAAGCGUGGGGAGCGAACAGG
rnacentral:rRNA from 1 species